rnacentral:rRNA from 1 species
UGGGGAAUCUUGCGCAAUGGGCGGAAGCCUGACGCAGCGACGCCGCGUGCGGGACGAAGGCCUUCGGUCGUAACCGCUUUCAGCAGGGACGAGGCCCUCACGGUGACGGUACCUGCAGAAGAAGCCCCGGCUAACUACGUGCC